CAGGCAUCAACCUGUCGUUAGAAAAUCUCCAUCCCAUCAGAACGAUAAAGGUGGUCUAUGAGAUCUUGCCAGCCCCUCAAGUCACUGCACCUGCACCAAAACCCUCCAAGGCAAAAAGGAGGAAGAGGCAUGAAAAAGAGGACCACAUGAAGAAACCGCCCAAUGCCUUCAUGAUGUUCUUGAGAGAGAACAGGCGAAGCGUGGCAGCUGGUAUGAACAUCAAAAGUAACGCCAAAGUCAACACCAUCCUAGGCCAGAUAUGGAGAUCAAUGACAAAGGAUGAGCAGAACAAAUAUUAUAACAUUGCUGAUGAGGAGCUACUUCGCAGGAGGAGCAGCAGCAGUACUUUGACGGCAUGACGAGCAAAACGCUCACACAAACAAGGCGUCCCACAGG